rnacentral:rRNA from 1 species
UACGUAGGGGGCGAGCGUUGUCCGGAGUUACUGGGCGUAAAGCGCACGCAGGCGGUGCUGCGCGUUUGGGGUUACAGCUCCCGGCUCAACCGGGAGAGCGCCUCGAAGACGGCAGCACUUGAGGGCCAGAGAGGGACACGGAAUUCCGGGUGGAGUGGUGAAAUGCGUAGAGAUCCGGAGGAACACCGAAGGCGAAGGCAGUGUCCUGGCUGGUGACUGACGCUGAGGUGCGAAAGCUAGGGGAGCGAACGGG